rnacentral:lncRNA from 1 species
AAUCUUUGGCACCCUCCUGUGCCAAGAUGAACAAGAUUCAAAUAUAAGCAAGAGUCCCCAGAAAAGUCUGAACGGAUGAGUGCGGGCUAGGGAAAGAAGCAAUAAGAGCACAAGGAAUCAGACAUAUUUGGCUUUGAAAUUUGGGUCUGAAGUUUUGCAUCUACCAAAAGGAGGCUUGAGAGUUUGUUAGGCCUCUGUUGUUGCAUGCUUCCAAGACUUUGGGCGAGUCAGAAGUUUAGUGCAGUUAAGAGGAUGCUUAGGGUCAGUGAUAGGGCCAGUAUGAAUAGGAUUAUGUUUAUUACUCUUCUCUGGGUUUAAACCAGAUUCUAAGGAUUGGAAGUCAAUUGUAAUUAGUAUACUAGAAGAGUAAGGUCCUCAUCAGUAGAUAAAAAUGUAGAGGAAUAAUCAUACGAUGUCUACAAAGUGUCAGUAUCAGGAGGCUGCUUCAAAUUCGAAGUGGUGAUUUAAUGUGAAGUGAAGCAGUUUGGGAUAAGACAUGAAGCAACCAUGGAGGCUACUGGCACAUGACUUGAGAGUCCCCAAGAGACUCAGCUGUGUCAUAAGAGUUCCCUACAAUUCAGUGUUCCCUACAAUUGGAUGCUGAUGGCACAGGGAAGAUGAGCAAAAAGAUGGAAACUGCUGAAGUUGCCAAAAAUACAAUACCAGCCAUCAUCCCUGUAGCCACUGCUCUUCCAAGACCAUAUAAAACCACACCCUCUUUUGGCAACAGAUAUUUCCUUUUAACAAUAAAAGACAAAGAGGAUACAAGUCCAUGGUUGAUCAAGAUCACUUGUCUGCACAGCCUGCAGCAGGAAGGAUGCUGAAGUGUAAGAUGUGUCUGAAAGAAUCAGAGGAAAUGGUGUCACCAUCCUCACCAGGAGGUUUUGAUCUCAGGUGGGAAAAGGAAAUUCAAGACUAGUCUGAACUCAUCUCAUAGACGACUUAAGGAUACUGCUGAAACCUCUGAGAUGUUCUAAAUUCUAAAUAUUUACCAAUUUACGUAAAUACUCAGUUAACUGAAGGAUAUCAUGAUACAGAAUGGAAAUGUCAUGGUGAGUGAAUUUAAAUACAUAUUUAAAUACUCCUCAUUGUCUACCAGUUGUAAUUAAUUACAUGGCUACUGCUCAUUAGGAGGCAUGUAUUUAAACUUACCCAGUUUCUCCCAGUACUGGAAAGAAAAAAAUCAACAAGGCCACUAUCUGUGGAAAACCUUUCUGUACUUCCCUGUACUCCAAGGACUUUGCUGCCCAAGUAAUGGAAUUACUUUAAACCAGCAUGUCUGAAAACAGAAUAUUUGGUGUUUUUAAAUAAACUAUUGAUUCUUGCCUGAGGUUUUCA